rnacentral:rRNA from 1 species
UACGUAGGGCGCAAGCGUUAUCCGGAAUUAUUGGGCGUAAAGAGCUCGUAGGCGGUUUGUCGCGUCUGCCGUGAAAGUCCGGGGCUCAAUUCCGGAUCUGCGGUGGGUACGGGCAGACUAGAGUGAUGUAGGGGAGACUGGAAUUCCUGGUGUAGCGGUGAAAUGCGCAGAUAUCAGGAGGAACACCGAUGGCGAAGGCAGGUCUCUGGGCAUUAACUGACGCUGAGGAGCGAAAGCGUGGGGAGCGAACAGG